ACCACGGACCGGUUGUCUCUCACAAGCUUAAUGAAGCCCUUAUCUGGAUGGAGCACCCUGAUUAAAAGAAAGCAAAGAUCCCAGCUUCUUGAUUAUCAUGGUCAGUAAAACAAAUAAUGAUGCAAAGCUGGGGUCUGGAAAAGACAUUGUGCCUAUAUUGAUUCCCAUGGAAAAUAGUAUAAAAAGCCUUGAUAGAAGCACUUUACUCAUCCACAUCUUGGAGAGCUGUGACAGGGCGCACUUGCUGAAGAUCUAAGAAAUGGCACAGGAGGUCAGAGCAAGGAAAACAGAUCUGCUUUUUAACAUACCAACGCUGAUAUAGAAAUAUCUUUUUCAGCAAAAAAAUUCAGGGGGAUUUUAUUGAUCCCUUGAAAACACCUUCUCGACGCCUCUAUAAAUCAAUGCCUGAGAGGCCUCUUGAGCCCGGAGAGCCGCGUCGUGGCAUUACCUUUAAAAGAGGAAAGCCUGACCAUGCUCACACUAUAGAAAAUCAGCCCAAAAGACAUAAGGCUGCUGAACUCCCAGAGAGCAUCACCCACCCAAUGAAACCUCGUGUGGUGUUGGGAGGCAGCCCUGGUGAAUGUUCAGGUGUGAACAACCCAGCGAAACCGCAGGCGGUGAAGGGCCAGAAAAAGCAAAGGCCACCUGCAAAUGUUGGAAACGCUGUAGACACUGUACCAACAGUUGGUGAAUGGUUUUAAAAAGUUGGAUUGAUUGUUAACAUGGUAGCCAUUGCUAAAGAAUGGGGGGAAAGGAUGGGUCAGAUCACGAGAGAAAUGCCAAAUAUGCAAAAUAUCUGUGAGUCGAUUAAAAAUGGAUCAUUUUUCUUGUGUAAAAGCCUCUCAAAUUCAAACAGGUCUGGGUUAUCCUGAUGUAAAGAAGACGCCCAAAAGAGGUAAAAUGAAAAGGGGAAAAAGCCUAUCACAGGGAAGCUUUACUGGCGCAAUAGAGCUGUUAAACUGUUACAAAGGGCUAAAAAAAGACUUGCACUUAGGAAAAGGGUCCCUGUCUCUCUGCCCUCUAGUUCUACACAGCAGGGUCAGUCUCAAGAGCACUCACAAGGCUCAGAAGGUGUGGCUCCCAACCAA